rnacentral:lncRNA from 1 species
AAUAGAACAAAACGUGGACCAUUGUAACUUUUCAAAGAUAUUGCCCGUCCUAAGAAACGUUUCUCUGACAGUACUUACGUUGUUCCUUGUAAAAAGAAGGACGACGACACUCCUCGAUAUACGACGUCAUUACGAUAGAUAAGAAACGUCUCGGAGAAUAAUAUCUACUCGAAAGAAUCUUACUUUUUGGAGUUUGGAAAAAUCGAACGGACCAAGGAAGAAGAAGAAGAAGAAGAAGAAGAAACAGAAAGGAAGAACGAGAUCGAAAAUAAUAAUUCCUAGAUAGAUAGAUAGAUGGGAAAGACAAGAUGAUGAUCUGGAGAGAUAAGUUUGAAGAUGUAGUGAACCGGAAAAGCAGCAAGACGAAAGAGGAGGACGUGGAAGAGGAGGUGGAGGAGGAGAAGCUUGAGAAAUAACGGAAGGAAGGAAGAGAGUAAGUUUCAAUGAAAACCGACUGCGGCUUUUCAAACUUGUGGACCAAUUAGACUCCAAUUUGUUCUGGAAGACGGCGGGCGGGGUCUCGGCCGCAAAACGGACGUCUAAUUAAAGCCGUACGCUUCGGUAUUCGAGUAGACACUGACUUUAGAUGCUUUCUAUAUAUUUGGAUAGAUAAUAUAUAUAUAUAAAAUAUAUGUAUACACGUGAAUGUACAAUGAGUCAUAGGAAUAUUUCUACUCCUAUUGUUAAUGUUAAACAGUAAAUAUUUGUACGUAUUAUAAGGUCUCUAAAUUCUUGUAAAAAGAAACAUAUUUUAGAAUUAUUAAACUUUCAAACUCAUAUAAAUUUUAUUAUACAAAAUCAUUUGUUUUUGCGAAAGAAGUAAGCAGCGUGUUACCCUAUUGGCAAAAAGGGUUUUUGCCUAGAGGUCCCCGACAACAGAUAAGGCCCUAAUGUCAUCAACGUAAUUUUGUUUUAUGUUUAAUCAAAUUAUAUCAACAAUUAUUA